AGAGUUUGAUCCUGGCUCAGGAUGAACGCUAGCGGCAGGCUUAACACAUGCAAGUCGAGGGGUAUAAUAGCAAUAUUAGAGACCGGCGCACGGGUGCGUAACGCGUAUGCAAUCUACCUUUUGCAGAGGGAUAGCCCAGAGAAAUUUGGAUUAAUACCUCAUAGUAUUAUGAUGUGGCAUCACAUUAUAAUUAAAGUCACAACAGCAAAAGAUGAGCAUGCGUCCCAUUAGCUAGUUGGUAAGGUAACGGCUUACCAAGGCAACGAUGGGUAGGGGUCCUGAGAGGGAGAUCCCCCACACUGGUACUGAGACACGGACCAGACUCCUACGGGAGGCAGCAGUGAGGAAUAUUGGACAAUGGGCGCAAGCCUGAUCCAGCCAUGCCGCGUGCAGGAUGAAGCAUCUAUGGUGUGUAAACUGCUUUUGCACAGGAAGAAACACUACCUCGUGAGGUAGCUUGACGGUACUGGAGAAUAAGAU
rnacentral:rRNA from 1 species